AGGCAAUAACAUGGUCCCAAAUACCAUUCCAAUAUUCAUGUGGUGGUGAAAUUGGAAUUUCAUAAAAGAAAACAUUACCAAGUAUAUUUUCCCUUCCAGCCUCACAUUAUUUCCUUUAGAAUCAGUCCAUGGAAUGACUGAAAUAAUACUAGGAAUUUGUCCCAAAAAAAUAUUAAAACAAUUUUAUAUAAACAUCAUCAAGUUAUUGUCCUACUACACAAAUAAGGUGAGAGGUUUAGAAUAAUCAAAAUUAUAGGGAUUUUUAUCACAUUAUUAUAUAGGAGGAGCUGCAUCUUUUGAUGAAUAUUCAACUGCAGACUCUGUCAACUGGGUAUAGUGGAACUCAAUUUGAAGCCUGUGAUGUAUAGGUGUUGAUGCCAUCAAACCUUUCUCAAUAUCAGCUUGCAAUUCUCUUAUAGGAAUUGCAGCUAAGAAGCUCUUAAUAUACUCUUUGCAUGACUCUUUCCCUUUGCACAUAAUCUCCUCAUCCUUCUCACUGUUUCCUACCUCAUUCUGGCCUCCUGCCUUCUUUGGGGUCAACUGCAGAUUCACUUCAGCUGAAUUUUUUCCCUUGGAUUUGCUUGGUUGCCAAUUUUCCAUGGCAGUUUUUUCGGCCAAUGCUUUAGUCUCUGCUGGUAGCAGCAGAAUUGAUGUAUCUUUGUCAAAUUUUAGGACAUAGGCCUGAUUGCAUCCCUCGUAAAGUCUCUCUCCCAAUGUAUCAAUGAUAUAGUAUGCAUCUUGCUUAACCUUGAGGACAAAGAAAUGGUCAUUCCAACUUACUAUAUACACCAACGGGUCACCAUUAUUAGACCAGUUGGAACUAUUAUGGCUAAUCUCCUCCCAGAUACAGUCAAAGGUCAUUGCACCAUGAAGGAAGUUGAAAUCUAGGCCUUCUGGAUGGAAGAAUCCGAUGAAAGACUUCUCUGCUACAACUGAGAGAGGACGAACCUUGGCUUGGAGGACCGUUUCUAGAUCAAAAUGCCUGUCAGGAAACUGUUGUCUAUAGUCCUCUUUCUCGCACAAAUUUCUCCACGCCAAUGAACCAUCUCUGAUCAGGCUGUCAAAUUCAGACUUGGUUGGCACUUCAUAUUGAUUAGAUUGCAGCCAAUUAGCAAUGACAGCAACGAGGGCUGUACAAGCACUCUCUCCAGCUGCACGCUCACUUCUCUGAUCAAUUGAACCGAAAAAGACCUGUGCUUGGAGCUUCAUGAGUCCAUCACGGCUUAUUAACUCUUUCUGCUCCCAGCUGCCUACGGCAAAAUGGUCAUCUCCAAAUUCAGAGAAUGAUGAUCCACUAAUAGUAGAACCUUCUUCUGAUUUAUUCCACCCAAAAGUGGACUCAUCAGAUGAGCUAAGCUGUCUACGAUCAAAAUCUAUGUCAUCACCUCCAUCUUCACCAUAAUUUUUCUUCAGAAGAGGUUCUCGUUUUACUUUAGGUUUAGGAGUUCUAAAGUUCAGUUUUCUUUUCCUCCAAGGUAAGAUUCGGUGCUUUGGACACUGCCUCAAGGACUGUUCAUAGACUGUUGCUGUUGAAUGUCCAAAACAAAAAGGUGCCAGGUCUGGUUUAUGGUUGUUAUAGUAUAUCCAACCCUCAUCUUUGGAAUCAAUUAUAGUACUCGAGUACAAUGAUCCUCCAUUGAAGUUUGCAUAUGCCAGUGUUUCAUAAUUGAAUGACAACCGAGAAUUAGAAUUGCCAUUACUUUCCUCUACUUCAGCCUCAGCAUCAUCAUCAAGUGAAUAUGUAUCAAAUGCAUAGUUGUAUUCAGCAACUUCACGUCUGACACUGCUCUUACCCUUGUAUUCAGCAACUUCACGUCUGACACUGCUCUUACCCUUGUAUUCAGCAACUUCACGUCUGACACUGCUCUUACCCUUGUAUUCAGCAACUUCACGUCUGACACUGCUCUUACCCUCACUGCCCUCUUCUUCAUGACAAGCCUUCUUUGUCCCUCGGAAGAUUCUCACUUUUCUAAGACCUGCUUUAAGACCAGAAAACUCAUCUUUUUGUGAUGAUAGAUCGUCUUCAGAGGAGGGUGAUGAAACAGGUUGAUUGAAUCUGGGAAUUGCCCGUAGAGUUUCUUGAUCUGUUCCCAAUUCCAUCAACCUCAGAGAUAUAAAAAGCAAGGGAGUACCAUCACUGGUCCUACCGGGAACCAUUAAAGGAACAUUGAUUUCAAGCUCUUUAUCAUUAGCUGUUGAAGCAUAUUCUGCAAGGUUUAAUAUAGCAGUUCCAACAAGGACACCAUUCCUUGGUUCCUGGUUCAAGCUGCUGAAAACAGAGAAUGCAACCUCCCGUGGAUGAAACAAACCCUCCUUGUUCCCGGAAAAAUUACGGACGGUUUUAAACUCCUCAUUCCAUUCAAACAGCCCAUCACCAAAAAAACUACCUUCCUUUGUAAAAUUCCUUCUCACAGAGCGCCUCAAAGGUCCCAAAGCAAUACUCUUUUGACCCUUCCACUUUAACUCAACCACCACUGUCCUCUUCUUGCUAACAUCAUCAUUUUCUGCAUCAAAUUGUACCAUAUUCAGGCCUUGCAGUUUCUGAAUUGCUAUUUUUACCUCAAAUUUUCUGGAUGAUACAGGAGGCCAAGGUGGCCACCUCAUCAUCUUCACCACCA
rnacentral:misc_RNA from 1 species